rnacentral:rRNA from 1 species
GUGAGUAAUGUCUGGGAAACUGCCCGAUGGAGGGGGAUAACUACUGGAAACGGUAGCUAAUACCGCAUAACGUCUUCGGACCAAAGUGGGGGACCUUCGGGCCUCACACCAUCGGAUGUGCCCAGAUGGGAUUAGCUAGUAGGUGGGGUAAUGGCUCACCUAGGCGACAAUCCCUAGCUGGUCUGAGAGGAUGACCAGCCACACUGGAACUGAGACACGGUCCAGACUCCUACGGGAGGCAGCAGUGGGGAAUAUUGCACAAUGGGCGCAAGCCUGAUGCAGCCAUGCCGCGUGUGUGAAGAAAGCCUUCGGGUUGUAAAGCACUUUCACCGAGGAGGAAAGGUGGUGUGUUAAUAUCGCACCACAUUGACGUUACUCGCAGAAAAAACACCGGCUAACUCCGUGCCAGCAGCCGCGGUAAUACAGAGGGUGCAAGCGUUAAUCGGAAUUACUGGGCGUAAAGCGCACGCACGCGGUUUGUUAAGUCAGAUGUGAAAUCCCCGCGCUUAACGUGGGAACUGCAUUUGAAACU